UUUUGCUCUGCCAAGCCAAAAACUUUAUUAAUAUACUGCAAUUGAAAUAAGAUGGAUAUAUAAACUGCCUAAGGAAAGAUUACAUAGUAAUAGCAAGAAGCAACGGUGAGAGAUGGACUUUAAAAGAGCACAAGAGAAGGACUACAGCUGAAAUAAAUGGAGGCAACAGCCAAUGAUAGAGGCAUCAUCCAUAUUUUCAGUGAAUGCCAAUGCCUCCACCAUUUUCUUCUUUUUUCAGUGAGGGCGGUAUAAACCCAUUUGCUCGACUAUAAGUUACGUCCUUGUGGGUAUAUAUCACCCCUUUAUCACCAUCCACUACCUGUCCACUACCCCUUAGAAUCCAUCUUGUUGUUAGCAAUCCUUCAACUCCAACAGGACCCCGAGCAUGAAUUCUACUCGUACUUAUUCCAACCUCUGCACCUAAACCAAAUCGAGCUCCAUCACAGAAUCUUGUGCUUGCAUUAUGAAAAACUGCAGCACUGUCAACCUGAUGUAGAAAAACUUCUGCAACAUCAUGAUCUUCUGCUAUAAUACAAUCAGUAUGUGCACUUCCAUGUUCUUGUAUAUGAUCAAUGGCAGCAUACACAUCGUCAACAAUUUCGAUAGUGCAAGCCAUGGAAUUGUACUCGUGAUGAAAAGAAUGUGCUUCUGGAAGGUUCAGCUCCUUGCUUGCCCUUGGUCCCCCAUACAA
rnacentral:misc_RNA from 1 species